AGCGUUAUUUUCAAGAUCGUGAAACAAAGAUGAGCGAUUUGUGAACAGUUAAUGAUUAUGGUUCGACUACGAGAUUGCAGAUCAUCGUAUGAGUUCUCGAUGUUAGUGUGUGCAUCGUGCAACAUAGACAUGGAUCAAAGAUAUAGGGUGGGCUCCUGAUAUUUGAAGUUGUUUCUACUCUUCCUCUUAUUUGUAUUGAUUCUCUAUUUUGCAUUUUAGGGAUGACUUAUCUAUUUUUUUUUUGUACUUUAUCUUGUACUCUAUUAUCAUUAGAAGCUCUUGUAUCGAUUUCACCA